rnacentral:lncRNA from 1 species
UUUGACUACCCAAAAGGUCUCGAAUAUUGAAACGGAGCACACUGGGACGAUCCCCAACCUCCCUAGCACUCCCUGGUCAAAUUUUGGCCUACAGCACGCCCGGACCAAGUCCUACCUCUAGAACCGGGUGCUAUAGCACACCGAUUUGACCCAAAAAUGUCCUGUUCACGUCGUUUCACCCAUUACUGGGACUAUCCCUAACC